GGGUGGUUAGCUCAGCGGUAGAGCAUCGCACUCACACUGCGGGGGUCACUGGUUCGAACCCAGUACUACCCACCA
rnacentral:tRNA from 1 species